rnacentral:ncRNA from 2 species
GAACAACGCUGGGGGCGUCUGCCAGGGGGCAGGCUGAGAGGAACCCUUGGAACCUGAUCCGGGUCAUGCCGGCGUAGGGAAGCGCUACAGGAUCAAC